rnacentral:rRNA from 1 species
AUUGAACGCUGGCGGCAGGCCUAACACAUGCAAGUCGAGCGGAUGAGGGUAGCUUGCUAUCUGAUUCAGCGGCGGACGGGUGAGUAAUGCCUAGGAAUCUGCCUGGUAGUGGGGGACAACGUUUCGAAAGGAACGCUAAUACCGCAUACGUCCUACGGGAGAAAGUGGGGGAUCUUCGGACCUUACGCUAUCAGAUGAGCCUAGGUACGAUUAGCUAGUUGGUGAGGUAAAGGCUCACCAAGGCGACGAUCGUUAACUGGUCUGAGAGGAUGAUCAGUCACACUGGAACUGAGACACGGUCCAGACUCCUACGGGAGGCAGCAGUGGGGAAUAUUGGACAAUGGGCGAAAGCCUGAUCCAGCCAUGCCGCGUGUGGGAAGAAGGUCUUCGGAUUGUAAAGCACUUUAAGUUGGGAGGAAGGGCAGUAAGUUAAUACCUUGCUGUUUUGACGUUACCGACAGAAUAAGCACCGGCUAACUUCGUGCCAGCCGCCGCCGUAACAC